CCAAAAAGAAAAGAAAAUGUCCUUAAUUGUUUUAAAUAGAUUUGGAUCAGCAUGUAUUUAUACAUACUACUUACAUAUCUUGGAGAAGAAAUGAAAGACCGUUAAUGCAUUCCAUCUUCCAAGGAGUUAAGGGGUAGCUUAGAAUGAGUUUAUUUCUAAUACCUGGAACCUUUUACUGCACAGCUUAUUCGUCCACCAGAAACUGAAGGGGUCAUGUUCUUGGCUUGUAUGUUUAUGAAGUAUGUCCUAGGCGCAGUUUCCAAGUCCUCUGUUCCUUUUUCACUUUCUGUUGUUUUGUUUUCCUUUGGUUUUCUUUGUUUUCUUUCAGUGUGUAGUCAUUAAACCCAGAACCUCAGAGGGCUCUACUACUAAACCAUAUACCAGUACCAAAACCGAAAAAUAUUGACGAUACUUUUGUGCUGAAUAUUCCUCAGCCUUAACUUACUAAUGCUUAUGCCCAAUGGAUCUUCCUUCAUGAAGUACCCUCUCCUCCCCCCCAUUUAUCUUUGGUGAUUUUAAUAAAUAAUACCUUUGGAAAAUGAUAGUUUGUAUGUUUCUUCACUGUGUAUUACAAUAUUUAGGAAAGG
rnacentral:lncRNA from 1 species